UACAGAGGGUGCGAGCGUUAAUCGGAAUUACUGGGCGUAAAGCGCACGUAGGUGGCGACGUAAGUCGGGUGUGAAAGCCCCGGGCUCAACCUGGGAAUUGCAUUCGAGACUGCAUUGCUGGAGUACGGAAGAGGAGGGCGGAAUUCCCGGUGUAGCGGUGAAAUGCGUAGAGAUCGGGAGGAACACCGGUGGCGAAGGCGGUCUUCUGGACGGUGACUGACGCUGAGGCGCGAAAGCGUGGGGAGCAAACGGG
rnacentral:rRNA from 1 species